rnacentral:rRNA from 1 species
CGUAGGGUCCGAGCGUUGUCCGGAAUUAUUGGGCGUAAAGAGCUCGUAGGCGGUUUGUCGCGUCUGCUGUGAAAUCCCGAGGCUCAACCUCGGGCCUGCAGUGGGUACGGGCAGACUUGAGUGGUGUAGGGGAGACUGGAAUUCCUGGUGUAGCGGUGGAAUGCGCAGAUAUCAGGAGGAACACCGAUGGCGAAGGCAGGUCUCUGGGCACUUACUGACGCUGAGGAGCGAAAGCGUGGGGAGCGAACAGGAUUAGAUACCCUGGUAGUCCACGCCGUAAACGUUGGGCGCUAGAUGUGGGGACCUUUCCACGGUUUCCGUGUCGUAGCUAACGCAUUAAGCGCCCCGCCUGGGGAGUACGGCCGCAAGGCUA